UCUAGUGCUGUUGGGUCUUUGAUGUAUGCCAUGGUUUGCUCUCGUCCAGAUUUGUCAUAUGCUAUGAGUCUUGUUAGUAGAUAUAUGUCUAAUCCUGGCAAAGAACAUUGGAGGGCAGUUCAGUGGAUUUUCAGGCGAAGAUCACUUACUGGUUAUGUGUUUACUGUUGGCAGUUGUGCUGUGAGUUGGAGGGCUACUUUACAGUCUGUUGUUGCUUUGUCUACUACUGAAGCAGAAUAUAUGGCUAUUUGUGAAGCGUGCAAAGAAUUAA